CGAUGUGGAUGGGUGCUUGGGAUUUGAUGGAACGAACCGCACCGCGGCCAUUGCCGUAGCCGCCCGUGGAUGGCCCAGCAGCAGCAGCUCGCUCUCCCUCCUUUGUUUUCCUUCACGGUAAAACGAGCAACCAGCUUCCCUCGUCUCUCCAAUCAGAAGCCGCUAGCAACAGCAACGCAUGCCACAUUGAUCCAUCAUUCCAUCCCCUCUCCAAGAAUCCAAGCACCCAGCAUCGCUUUCCCCGUCCCCGGUGCCCAAUUGGAAACAGGAGGCGUGCCACGUCGUGGCUGCAGACGGCGUAGUGGGGACCAGGAGGCGUCGGGGCUUGCGGAUGGCGACGUCGAGGGCCUCCGGCGUGCUGCGACGGGGACAGGGGGCUUGCGGUGCUCAUCGGUGGGUGCCUGCGCGGCCGCGGCGUCGGGGUGCCGCAGCAUCGGCGGCGGGAAUGGCGGUGCGUGGGGCGCACGGCGGCACGGGGCUAGCAGAGGUCACCGGCGGCUACAGCGCGGGGUCGCCGCCUGCUCACCGGCGCCGCCCCCGGAACAUUUUCGACAAGGCCCCUGGUCCAAAACCGGGGUCCUUUUGUAACUUGUUUGGAUCGCAAUUAUUGGUCGCGAUCCGAUUUAGGGGUGUUUUGUAAAAUAUCGGAAGGAAUGUUUCAAAACGACCCCUGAUUUGGAUCGCGAUAAAUAAUCGCGAUCCGAUUUUGAGGUCCUUUUGUAAAUACUUCUGGAUCCAGUAUUUGCGGAAGCCCCCCUUCUCCACCUGCGGUGGCGCCAAGCUCGCCUCCUGCCCCGCGGCCGGCGCCAGGCCACGCCGGGUCCCUUCAGCUGACGGUCCCGCGCCACCGCCGCCGCCGGAACGCGUCGCCAUCGACAUCCCUGCCACCGCCGUCACGCCGCCCGUCGUCCUCAUCCUUGGAGGCGUUCCUUCGCCGCCGUGGACAUCCCCGCCGCCGGCACGCGGCCCGUCGUCGUCGGUCCCAAGAACCCGACGCGCGUCGGUGCCUUCGUCAGGGCGCUGGUCAAGGACCUGUGGAUCGCGUACAUGCUGCUGGCCGCGCCGGCGCUGGUGGCGGCAGCGCUGGUCUGGGGCGCGUCCCCGUUCGUGCAGCUCAUCAUGGUGUUCUUCGCCGGCGUGUUCACGCCGGCGCUGUUCCUCGUCCGGGAAGCGGAGGAGGAGCAGGCGCAGACGGAGGUGAAGGCUUUCUGAAAGCUGGGAUCCGUUUGGCAACCCAACUUCUCCGAGGACGAGCAGAGGCCGGACGAGCAGAGCUGGAUGAGCAACGGCCCGAUGCGGAGGGUGGACAGCGGCCGCCGAUGAGGACGAGCAGGGGUAGAGGGAGGGCGGCGCGACGCAACGUAGGAUGCGGAGGGCGGACGGCGGACGGCGGUUGGCGAUGAGGACGAAGAGGAGCAGAUGGAGGGCGGCACGACGCGGGGUGUGGAGGGAGGAGGGCGGCAAGCGACGAGGAUGAGCAGGGGUGGAGGGAGGAUGGCGACGAGGAUGAGGUGAGGCCAGGCGACGAGCAGGGGCCGGGUGGAGGGAGGAGGGCGGCGGCCCGAUGCAGUGCGGAGGGAGGACGACAAGGGCGGAGGGAGGAAAAAGAAACGUACCGUUUCGGUACUUUACCGAUGGCAGACGGGUAAAUACUGCCAGAAGCUCAUUUUUCCCUCCUUUCAAGCUUUCCAUUGUAUCGUGGAAAGUUAGAACUUUUGGUUCACAAAAAGCUAGGUUCGAAAGUU